CCAGGCAUUAGCAAAGCCGAGCAUGCUGACUAGAAGAGACUUGCUGGUGAUAUUUUAGCCUAGUCAAGUGAUGGCCUCUGACCACAAAGAACAUUGGCUGGGGCUCUUUCAAAUUAUCCAAGGGAUUUUCAGCUGAGUCGUUUCUCUGUUCUCCCACUUGGAGUCAUUUGAUACCCAUUUCAGAGCCAUCCCUUGUAAAGAGAACUUCAAAAUGUCAAGGAGAAUUCACUACCUACAGAAUGGAAAGACCACGUGAGGACACAGUGAGGAGGCAGCC